CCGCUCAUAGUGUAAUGGAUAACACUCUUGACUUCGGAUCAAGUAAUUGGGGUUCGAGUCCUCAUGAGCGGGCCA
rnacentral:tRNA from 2 species